UACGUAGGUGACAAGCGUUGUCCGGAUUUACUGGGCGUAAAGAGCGCGCAGGCGGUCGAUCAAGUCGAGUGUGAAAGCCCCCGGCUCAACUGGGGAGGGUCAUUCGAUACUGAUCGACUCGAAGGCAGGAGAGGGUAGUGGAGUUCCCGGUGUAGUGGUGAAAUGCGUAGAUAUCGGGAGGAACACCAGUGGCGAAGGCGACUACCUGGCCUGUUCUUGACGCUGAGGCGCGAAAGCUAGGGGAGCAAACGGG
rnacentral:rRNA from 1 species